UACAGAGGUCUCACGCGUUGUUCGGAUUCAUUGGGCGUAAAGGGUGCGUAGGCGGCGCGGUAAGUCGGAUGUGAAAUCUCGGGGCUUAACUCCGAAACUGCAUUCGAUACUGCCGUGCUUGAGGACUGGAGAGGAGACUGGAAUUUACGGUGUAGCGGUGAAAUGCGUAGAUAUCGUAAGGAAGACCAGUGGCGAAGGCGGGUCUCUGGACAGUUCCUGACGCUGAGGCACGAAGGCCAGGGGAGCAAACGGG
rnacentral:rRNA from 1 species